UUUUUUAAUUGAAAACUUGUAUGAAAGGUUGAAUGAGAUAUUAAUUGUUUCAAAAUAAUAAAAAUAAAAUUUUAUUUUUUAGUUAAAAAGCUAAAAUAUAUUUAAAAGACGAGAAGACCCUAUAAAGUUUAAUAAUUUAAAUUUUAAAAAUUAAUUUAAAUUAAAUUUUGAUUUUUAAAAUUUAAUUAUUUGAUUGGGGAGAUAAUAAAAUUUUUAAAACUUUUAUAAUUUUUUACAUAAAUUAAUGAUUUAUUGAUCUUGUAUUAUUGAUUAAAAAAUUAAAUUACUUUAGGGAUAACAGCGUUAUUUUUUUUUUAAGUUCAUAUUUAUAAAAAAUAUUGC
rnacentral:rRNA from 1 species